rnacentral:rRNA from 1 species
GCGGAGGAAAAGAAACCAACAGGGAUUGCCUCAGUAACGGCGAGUGAAGCGGCAACAGCUCAAAUUUGAAAUCUGGCCCCCUCGGGGUCCGAGUUGUAAUUUGGAGAGGAUGCUUCGGGUGUGGCCCCGGUCUAAGUUCCUUGGAACAGGACGUCACAGAGGGUGAGAAUCCCGUACGUGCCCGGUGGCCGCCCCCGUGUGAAGCUCCUUCGACGAGUCGAGUUGUUUGGGAAUGCAGCUCAAAAUGGGUGGUAAAUUUCAUCUAAAGCUAAAUAUUGGCCAGAGACCGAUAGCGCACAAGUAGAGUGAUCGAAAGAUGAAAAGCACUUUGGAAAGAGAGUUAAACAGUACGUGAAAUUGUUGAAAGGGAAGCGCUGGCAACCAGACUUGCGCGGGGUCGAUCAUCCGGUGUUCGCACCGGUGCACUCGGCCCCGCGCAGGCCAGCAUCGGUCUGGGCGGCUGGAUAAAGGCCUUGGGAAUGUGGCUCUCUUCGGGGAGUGUUAUAGCCCAAGGUGCAAUGCAGCCCGCCUGGACCGAGGACCGCGCUCCGGCUAGGAUGCUGGCGUAAUGGUUGUCAGCGACCCGUCUUGAAACACGG